rnacentral:piRNA from 1 species
AUGAAACUACUUCCUGUUAGAACAUG